GUUUCUGUAGUGUAGUGGUCAUCACGUGCGUAUCACGUGCGCUUCACACGCGCAAGGUCCCCAGUUCGAACCUUGGCGGAAACA